rnacentral:tRNA from 1 species
AGGGGUAUAGCCAAGCGGUAAGGCACAGGAAUUUGACUCCUGCAUUCGUCGGUUCAAAUCCGACUACCUCUG